CCAAAUCACGCAUUUCUCUUGGAAACCCCCAUUUACUCAAAACCUCACCUUUUCUCUUGGAAAAUACGCAUUUACCCCCAAAUCAUGCAUUUUCUCUCCAAAAAUACCCAUUAACCCCAAAAGCACACAUUUUCUCCUUCAGAAAUCCCCCUUUUAACCACCCAAAUCCACACAUUUUUCUCUUGGAAAAUCCCCCAUUACCCCCAAAAUCAUGCUUUUAUCUCUUCAAAAAUACCCCAUUAUCCCCCAAAUCACACAUCUUCUCUAGGAAAAUCCCCCAUUUAACUCGGAAAUCACACUUUUGCUCUUCAAAUACCCAUUGACCCCAAAAUCAAACAUUUUUGCUACAAGAAUCCCCCAUGUAUCCAAAAAACACGUUU
rnacentral:lncRNA from 7 species